rnacentral:rRNA from 1 species
UCAGGACGAACGCUGGCGGCGUGCCUAAUACAUGCAAGUCGAGCGGACAGAUGGGAGCUUGCUCCCUGAUGUUAGCGGCGGACGGGUGAGUAACACGUGGGUAACCUGCCUGUAAGACUGGGAUAACUCCGGGAAACCGGGGCUAAUACCGGAUGGUUGUUUGAACCGCAUGGUUCAAACAUAAAAGGUGGCUUCGGCUACCACUUACAGAUGGACCCGCGGCGCAUUAGCUAGUUGGUGAGGUAACGGCUCACCAAGGCAACGAUGCGUAGCCGACCUGAGAGGGUGAUCGGCCACACUGGGACUGAGACACGGCCCAGACUCCUACGGGAGGCAGCAGUAGGGAAUCUUCCGCAAUGGACGAAAGUCUGACGGAGCAACGCCGCGUGAGUGAUGAAGGUUUUCGGAUCGUAAAGCUCUGUUGUUAGGGAAGAACAAGUACCGUUCGAAUAGGGCGGUACCUUGACGGUACCUAACCAGAAAGCCACGGCUAACUACGUGCCAGCAGCCGCGGUAAUACGUAGGUGGCAAGCGUUGUCCGGAAUUAUUGGGCGUAAAGGGCUCGCAGGCGGUUUCUUAAGUCUGAUGUGAAAGCCCCCGGCUCAACCGGGGAGGGUCAUUGGAAACUGGGGAACUUGAGUGCAGAAGAGGAGAGUGGAAUUCCACGUGUAGCGGUGAAAUGCGUAGAGAUGUGGAGGAACACCAGUGGCGAAGGCGACUCUCUGGUCUGUAACUGACGCUGAGGAGCGAAAGCGUGGGGAGCGAACAGGAUUAGAUACCCUGGUAGUCCACGCCGUAAACGAUGAGUGCUAAGUGUUAGGGGGUUUCCGCCCCUUAGUGCUGCAGCUAACGCAUUAAGCACUCCGCCUGGGGAGUACGGUCGCAAGACUGAAACUCAAAGGAAUUGACGGGGGCCCGCACAAGCGGUGGAGCAUGUGGUUUAAUUCGAAGCAACGCGAAGAACCUUACCAGGUCUUGACAUCCUCUGACAAUCCUAGAGAUAGGACGUCCCCUUCGGGGGCAGAGUGACAGGUGGUGCAUGGUUGUCGUCAGCUCGUGUCGUGAGAUGUUGGGUUAAGUCCCGCAACGAGCGCAACCCUUGAUCUUAGUUGCCAGCAUUCAGUUGGGCACUCUAAGGUGACUGCCGGUGACAAACCGGAGGAAGGUGGGGAUGACGUCAAAUCAUCAUGCCCCUUAUGACCUGGGCUACACACGUGCUACAAUGGACAGAACAAAGGGCAGCGAAACCGCGAGGUUAAGCCAAUCCCACAAAUCUGUUCUCAGUUCGGAUCGCAGUCUGCAACUCGACUGCGUGAAGCUGGAAUCGCUAGUAAUCCCGGAUCAGCAUGCCCGCGGUGAAUACGUUCCCGGGCCUUGUACACACCGCCCGUCACACCACGAGAGUUUGUAACACCCGAAGUCGGUGAGGUAACCUUUUAGGAGCCAGCCGCCGAAGGUGGGACAGAUGAUUGGGGUGAAGU